GUGUUUGCUACGGCAGCACAUAUACUAAAAUUGGAUCGAUACAGAGAAGAUUAGUAAUGCCCCUGUGAAAGGAUGACAUGUAAAUCUGGAAGUGAGGACCAUUUAAAUUUU